UUUUGGUCUGUGUGAGACCAGGACUCAGAGCAGUACUGCAGUCCCUUCUGGACCAACAGCUUAAGAAAUCUCAUAUGCAGCUUACAAGAGCUGGGAAGUCCCUGUAGUUUGAGCUGACUCCCACCACAUAUGUUUGUUUCCUUUAUGAUACAGCCCCUGAUUUGUUCUAACUUAAUCCUCUUUGAUGAAAAAUAUACCCGUAAGUGAAAAGCAAGGCUUAUGCUGAUCUUGGCAUUUCAGUCAGCAAGUGUUACAUUUUGGUAAGCUACAGAGAAUGUCCUCAGUAUUCUUGGAGGGACAGUUCAAUAAAAGUUUAAGACUUCUUCAAGCCUGUUUGUAAAAUGCAUCCCUGCACAAAGUUGGUAUGAGGCACUGCUAGGAUUAAGGGGAAGUGUGUUGCCUAAACUGACAUCCCAGGUACCAUGAGGUGUCCUUGUCUUCAGAAGGGGGAUUCAUAAACAAGGGGUAACUCACUAAUACACAUGACAGAUUCUGUCCCAUGGAACCAUUAAGGGUAAAUACAUUGAUGAGACCCUGUCAUACAGUAUAUUUUCUUUUUUCAACUGAGUUAUCAUUCAAGCUAUUUCCACCUCUUCUUUGUAUUGUUCUCUGCAUUUAGGAUUUGACCUCUGCAUUUAGGGUAGAUCAUUGACUUAAUGGACAAUCAUUACGUUGGAACAGUGAACCAAUUGGAAACCCCAGAUGUUCUUAGGACACUGUUUUGAAGGAACUCAUAAAACCUCUGUACAUUUUCAGCUAGCCAAAAUAUCUGGAAGCUAAGGAAAAACAGGAAGGUACUUCUCUGCUUUACUGGCAGUGAGGCUGGCCUGUGAGCUUUUUGGAUGCUACCUAAGUGGAUGCUGUGCUUCAGGGAGGUUCCUGCAUCUUGUGAAUGAACGGGAGCUCAGGGAACCAAGGUACUUGUCUGAGGAAGAAACAGGUCAAUCAGUGAGCACAACCACCUGAUUUUUCC